rnacentral:lncRNA from 1 species
AGUGAGAAGCUACGUGUGAGUGUGGUCAUGAAAAACGGAAAGUAACACAAAGGAUUUGUUGUGAAGUUAUCUUUUAUAUUAUUAAAGCAAAAUUUGUAUCUUCGUCGACGCUUAAUAACUCUGGUAAUUCCAGUUACUGCAGCUUGCAUUAAAUAAAGCUAAAUCCUUAAUCAAAGUAAUAACUAAAGCUGAGCUAUUUGGUCAAUUAAAUUACUGUUUUGAGGUAAGGAAAGGAAAAAAGUGGGUAGACUUUCCCUUUUUUCUUAUUUAUUCAUUCUUUCUCGAAUUAUUGUUGUGCUAACAUCUCUUCAAAGAAUCAAGUGUCAAGAAUAAGCUAAUUAUAAAAUAGAAUAUUGAAAUAUUAGAUUCGUAAGAUAAUAUGGUCAAGAACAACAAUAUGAAUGGUCCCAAAGGGGGUCUUAGCUUCAAAUGGUAUGC